UAACUACCCUCAGUACAUUCCAAGCUUAAUUGCCCCCACCAUAUACUUUCCUCCUUCAGUUGGCCAAGGGGCUAUUAACACCAGAGGUUAAUGGUUAUGGCACCACUCACUCUAUUACAACUAAUGAUUCAUACGAAUUUAAAGUUCAUAAUUCCAAACCUAUCAAAAGGAACAUGAAAGUAAAAUGUCAGAGUCAGCAAAGUAGGUUCUGGUUGGCCCAAUAGUGUGAAAAGGAUACAAGUGAGCUUCAGUCUUUUAUACAGAACCUAACCUUCCUUCUUCACAGUACACUAUAUAAUAUGUGUAUUGCACUGCUCUUUGUAUGUGAGUUCAUUCCAGGUGACACAGUGAUCCAGAAUGCAGCCAACAGAUGUGUGGAUCAGGCUGUCAUAUGAGAUUGCUGCUGCAAGGAGAUCCAAACCAUCAACGUGGUCAGAGACAGGCCAGACCUCACACAGCUUACUGACAGGCUGAAGGCCAUGGGCGCCAGUCACGUGAUCAAAGAGGAGACCCUGAGGCGGAAUUGAUAUCUUUUUCAGAGUUGGAGGGUCGGUGGUGACGUAUGGAGGGAUGGCCAAGCAGCCAAUCACUGUUCCUGUGAGCGCCCUGAUCUUCAAAAAUGUGCAAGGGUUCUGGGUCACCCAGUGGAAGAUAACCCACUCUCGGGGUGAGCCAGGAGUAUUUAGAUACAAUACACACACACACAAAAUAUGUAGGAGUCUGGAGAGACAGGUCUUUGCUCUGCAUUCUUCACAUUCCAUUAUGGUGGGUCCAAGCUAUGAGUGAGACACAAAAUACUUUUAAUUUUGUCCCUCUGAAUGUCCAGUAUCAAACAUUACUUUCAAUAGCCUGCCGGUAUGAUGCUUUAUAACCUGUUAUAUGGAUGAGUUUCUAUAAUGUCUUUUAUAAUAUGUCUUUUAAUAAACUUAGCAAAAAAGAAACGCCCCAUUUUCAGGACCCUGUCUUUCAAAGACAAUUCCUACAAAUCCAAAUUUCACAGAUCUUCAUUGUAAAGGGUUUAAACACUGUUUACCAUGUUUGUUUAAUGAACAAAAAACAAUCAAUUAACAUGCACCUGUGGAACGGUCGUUAAGACACCAACAAUUUACAGACGGUAGGCAAUUAAGGUCACAGUUAUGAAAACUUAGGACACUGAAGAGGCCUUUCUA